rnacentral:ncRNA from 1 species
UGAAAAGCUUAGAAUGAGAGUAGUAGAAAGUAAGAGAUGUUAAAGAGAGUAGGGAUAUGGUGAGAGCCCGCAUAUUAUCGCUUUUGAACUCGCUCAGGAGCUACAAAACUGAAUGGGGAAGUAGGUUUUGUCGGUAAAGUUAUGCCGUUAUUUCAAUUAAGUUAAAACUUGGAUGGUACCGCGUAAAUCGCUCCAAUU